rnacentral:rRNA from 1 species
UACACUCCUACGGGAGGCAGCAGUGGGGAAUAUUGCACAAUGGGCGCAAGCCUGAUGCAGCCAUGCCGCGUGUAUGAAGAAGGCCUUCGGGUUGUAAAGUACUUUCAGCGGGGAGGAAGGCGAUAAGGUUAAUAACCUUGUCGAUUGACGUUACCCGCAGAAGAAGCACCGGCUAACUCCGUGCCAGCAGCCGCGGUAAUACGGAGGGUGCAAGCGUUAAUCGGAAUUACUGGGCGUAAAGCGCACGCAGGCGGUCUGUCAAGUCGGAUGUGAAAUCCCCGGGCUCAACCUGGGAACUGCAUUCGAAACUGGCAGGCUAGAGUCUUGUAGAGGGGGGUAGAAUUCCAGGUGUAGCGGUGAAAUGCGUAGAGAUCUGGAGGAAUACCGGUGGCGAAGGCGGCCCCCUGGACAAAGACUGACGCUCAGGUGCGAAAGCGUGGGGAGCAAACAGGAUUAGAAACCCCUGUAGUCCCAUGA